GUGGAUGUAGCUCAGCUGGUUAGAGUAGAGGAUUGUGGUUCCUAAGGUCGUGGGUUCGAAUCCCAUCUUCCACCCCA
rnacentral:tRNA from 1 species